AGUGAACGCUGGCGGUAGGCCUAACACAUGCAAAUCGAACGGCAGCACAGUAAGAGCUUGCUCUUACGGUUGGCGAGUGGCGGACGGGUGAGGAAUACAUCGGAAUCUACUUUUUCGUGGGGGAUAACGUAGGGAAACUUACGCUAAUACCGCAUACGACCUACGGGUGGAAGCAGGGGAUCUUCGGACCUUGCGCGAUUGAAUGAGCCGAUGUCGGAUUAGCUAGUUGGCGGGGUAAAGGCCCACCAAGGCGACGAUCCGUAGCUGGUCUGAGAGGAUGAUCAGCCACACUGGAACUGAGACACGGUCCAGACUCCUACGGGAGGCAGCAGUGGGGAAUAUUGGACAAUGGGCGCAAGCCUGAUCCAGCCAUACCGCGUGGGUGAAGAAGGCCUUCGGGUUGUAAAGCCCUUUUGUUGGGAAAGAAAAGCAGCAGGUUAAUACCCCGCUGUUCUGACGGUACCCAAAGAAUAAGCACCGGCUAACUUCGUG
rnacentral:rRNA from 1 species